AUACGUAGGUGACAAGCGUUAUCCGGAUUUACUGGGCGUAAAGGGCGUGUAGGCGGUCUUGCAAGUCAGAAGUGAAAUUCCUGAGCUCAACUCGGGCGCUGCUUCUGAAACUGCAGGACUUGAGUGCUGGAGGGGAUAGCGGAAUUCCUAGUGGAGCGGUAAAAUGCGCAGAUAUUAGGAAGAACACCGGUGGCGAAGGCGGAUAUCUGGACAGUAACUGACGCUGAGGCGCGAAAGCGUGGGGAGAAAACAGGAUUAGAUACCCGGGUAGUCCACGCCGUAAACGAUGAAUACUAGGUGUAGGGGGUAUCGACUCCCUCUGUGCCGCAGUUAACACAAUAAGUAUUCCGCCUGGGGAGUACGGCCGCAAGGUUGAAACUCAAAUGAAUUGACGGGG
rnacentral:rRNA from 1 species